rnacentral:tRNA from 1 species
GGGGGUUUAGCUCAGUGGUAUAAGCACCUGCCUUGCAAGCAGGUGGGUGAGUUCGAUUCCCA